rnacentral:misc_RNA from 1 species
UCCGGUUUGUCACCGGCAGUCUCCUCAGAGUCCCCAACUUAAUGCUGGCAACACGCCACGGGGGUUGCGCUCGUUGCGGGACUUAACCCAACAUCUCACGACACGAGCUGACGACAGCCAUGCACCACCUGUGCACUGGUCCCGAAGGAGGGCCGUAUUUCUACGGAUUUCCAGUGCAUGUCAAGCCCUGGUAAGGUUCUUCGCGUUGCAUCGAAUUAAACCACAUGCUCCGCUGCUUGUGCGGGGCCCCGUCAAUUCCUUUGAGUUUUAAUCUUGCGACCGUACUCCCCAGGCGGGAAGCUUAAUGCGUUAGCUGCGCCACCGACAAGUAAACUUGCCGACGGCUAGCUUCCAUCGUUUACGGCGUGGACUAC